GACGAACGCUGGCGGCGUGCUUAACACAUGCAAGUCGAACGGAAAGGCCCUUUCGGGGGUACUCGAGUGGCGAACGGGUGAGUAACACGUGGGUGAUCUGCCCUGCACUUCGGGAUAAGCUUGGGAAACUGGGUCUAAUACCGGAUAGGACUACGCACUGCAUGGUGUGUGGUGGAAAGCUUUUGCGGUGUGGGAUGGGCCCGCGGCCUAUCAGCUUGUUGGUGGGGUGAUGGCCUACCAAGGCGACGACGGGUAGCCGGCCUGAGAGGGUGUCCGGCCACACUGAGACUGAGAUACGGCCCAGACUCCUACGGGAGGCAGCAGUGGGGAAUAUUGCACAAUGGGCGCAAGCCUGAUGCAGCGACGCCGCGUGGGGGAUGACGGCCUUCGGGUUGUAAACCUCUUUCACCAUCGGCGAAGCCCAUAGCUUUUGUUGUGGGUGACGGUAGGUGGAGAAGGAGCACCGGCCAACUACGUGCCAGCAGCCGCGGUAACAC
rnacentral:rRNA from 1 species